UGUAAUGGCAGGUCAGCAUACUGCCGUGAAUACGUUCCCGGGCCUUGUACACACCGCCCGUCACACCAUGAGAGUUGGAAAUACCCGAAGCCUGUGAGCUAACCUUAUAGGAGGCAGCAGUCGAAGGUAGAGUCAAUGAUUGGGGUGAAGUCGUAACAAGGUAAC
rnacentral:rRNA from 1 species